rnacentral:rRNA from 1 species
AUUGAACGCUGGCGGCAGGCCUAACACAUGCAAGUCGAGCGGAUGAAGGGAGCUUGCUCCUGGAUUCAGCGGCGGACGGGUGAGUAAUGCCUAGGAAUCUGCCUGGUAGUGGGGGAUAACGUCCGGAAACGGGCGCUAAUACCGCAUACGUCCUGAGGGAGAAAGUGGGGGAUCUUCGGACCUCACGCUAUCAGAUGAGCCUAGGUCGGAUUAGCUAGUUGGUGGGGUAAAGGCCUACCAAGGCGACGAUCCGUAACUGGUCUGAGAGGAUGAUCAGUCACACUGGAACUGAGACACGGUCCAGACUCCUACGGGAGGCAGCAGUGGGGAAUAUUGGACCAUGGGCGAAAGCCUGAUCCAGCCAUGCCGCGUGUGUGAAGAAGGUUUUCGGAUUGUAAAGCACUUUAAGUUGGGAGGAAGGGCAGUAAGUUAAUACCUUGCUGUUUUGACGUUACCAACAGAAUAAGCACCGGCUAACUUCGUG